ACAUUCCCCUUGCCUUCUAUUCCCUCGCUUCCAAACUUCUCCCUUCCUCCCUCCGCGGUGCCCUCCGAGUUCUCGAUCAAUCUCACUCCGCCUUCAUGACCGGUCCAAUCCAAGAAGAAAACUCUGUGAUAACAGGAAACUGCACCUCCUCGUCUCUCCAGAAGCCGCUUGGGGACGUCCCAACCCACAGCACCCAAAACUCUAAUCUCCCCCCCUCCAUCCAUUUGUUGGUCUAAUCAUUCGUCCCAGCUUUCAUCUUUUACAUGUUUUCUGGUUGAGUUAAAUCUUCCAGUGAUUUUGUAUUAUGGCUAAGAAAGAGAAUAUGUUGCAAGGUGAUGUUGCUUAUCGACUAAAACAGCAGCAGCAGCAUGGAGAGAAAGGAUAAAGAGACCACGACAGUUUUUGCCACCAUUGCGUAAUCGUGCAUUUACUCCAUCUCUUUCUUCACGCACACAAUUCCUAUUGUUUCUUUGCAUUGCCCUGUUUUGGUUCUGUCUGAUCUCUUUUUUGGGUCUUUUUGGGAUUAGAUUUUGUUCUGCUUUGAUUCUGUCCAAUCUCUUUUUGGGUCUUUUGGGAUUAGAUUUGGUUCCCUCCCAUUUCUUCUUGGAUAAGAUCACCAUUGUAGUUUGCUAUCAUGGUUGGUUUUUUCUUGUGAUAAGAUCAACCUUGUUGCUUAUCCCCACACCGGAUCUCCUCCACCCAAAUUCCCCAACCCUAAGCACCGGAUCAAUGCGCUGUUGUCUUGGAUUAUGCUUCAAAGCAAUUGCUGCAGCCCCAGUUCCAGCAACAACCACAUCCCAUUUAGGUCAUGUUUGGGAUUGCUGUUGGCAGUGAGUUUUUGGAGCUUUUGGAACUCUGAUGGUUUAUUGGUAUGGACCUUACACCCUUCAAGCUGGACAUUAACGAACUUUUAGAUGAAUUCACCAAGGGAAACUUUACCACGCUGGCAGAUAUAAAGAAGAUGUGGAUGACUAAGAAGUUUUCUUACAUCCAUGAAGCCAAACCAACGUCCAAUUUGGCCUUGUUUAUACAAUCUCUCUAUGCUCAUUGCAUCAGUCAUAUGAUUUCUACUGGUGUUCUGUCACAGAGAUUGGGUGGACUUUAUUCCCUUUACUGUCUUUAUGAGAUUCAACCAUACAGACCUCACUUCAAGAUUUAUUUGUCUCUUGGAGAGUUAAAGAGGCUAAAAGCUCUGGUUGUUGAUGCAAAAGAAAAUAAUAUAGGCAUUGUACCUGCUUUAGUCAAAAGAAUGCUAGAUGGGAAUAUGUUUUUAUUUGGCUUUGUUGAUAUAGUUGGUGGUUCUAUAACUCAGAGAGUUGAUGAAAUCACAAAGCUACAGAACAGGCGUGCACAGAUUGCAUGUGAAAAAUUAUUAGCAAAUACUCAUAUUGAGGACUAUCUGCAGAUGGACCUUCGCACAGAACUGGAGCUGGAAAUGCUCAAGAAAAUGUCAAGAGAAUAUGCAAAAGCAAAGGAACUGGCUGUCAAAGAGGCUAGCCGUGUGGUGGAAGUUGACGACAUCAAGCAUAUAGCAGAACAUGACAAAAUGGUGGGGGACAUGGUAGAGGAGAUUGUGAAGGAAUGGGAUACUCAAAAAGAAGCAUUUUAUAAACAGACAGGAAUUAACCAUCAGAAUGAAAUUGUGGCAGUUAAAGUUUUGAUGAGAUAGAACACCUGUUGAAUGAAUAAGUGCAUCUAGUAUACCUGCUAUCAGCUGAUUUUACUGACUGUAUAUUUGCUCAGCACCAGCAAGUGACAGUUGUUAAGUGCUCAUGGCUAGUCGCUUGUUCAAAGCCUCUAUUCAUAUCAACAGGUCAUUGUCGAAGGCGGCGAUGCAGGGGACAAGGGCAUUCAUCAUGAUCGACAAGGUGGCGGUGGGCCCCAUGAUUCGGGCAAUUACAUGGGGUUCGGAUAAGGGUGGCAAUUCGUGUUCAUGUGUUGUAAUCAUGUAGAUACAAUUUUGACACGAACAUGAUUAUGGAGAACAACAUGAUUACGAUACCAACAUGAUUAUGGAGACUACGAAUAUGACAUGAUUAAUAAAUAUGUCAGAAUUUUUUAAUAUGUAUACGAUUCUGUUUAUGAAAUGUGUUAUCUAUUUAACAUGAUUA